rnacentral:ncRNA from 1 species
ACUGUUAGGCUCAGUAUACCUGGAUUAGGAUGGUACACCCAUCAAACUGUAAUACCCUAAGAAGUUCAGGGAGGACAGACACAUUCUAUGAGCAGAGGAGCAAAGGCAGACCGGAUCUUUAUUUUCAGCACAGACACAGUCUGUGAAGUUAGGGCCUCAUGAUCCUUCUUAUUCUUAGGGUCUUAAGCGGAAAGUCUCAGCAAAGGAAACACAAAUUUAAAAGGAAUAUGCUGGCCAAGAAAUCAGAGCCAUUCUACUUCUUAGUCCUUAGAUAUUUUCUCUUCAUUGUGAAGCAGACUUCACCAAGUGCUGGAUUGUUCACCCACUAAAAAGAAUACGAGGUGGGAUCUGGCCAUCCUGCAGUU